UACAGAGGUCUCAAGCGUUGUUCGGAUUCAUUGGGCGUAAAGGGUGCGUAGGCGGCGCGGUAAGUCGGGUGUGAAAUCUCGGGGCUUAACUCCGAAACUGCAUUCGAUACUGCCGUGCUUGAGGACUGGAGAGGAGACUGGAAUUUACGGUGUAGCGGUGAAAUGCGUAGAUAUUGGGAGGAACACCAGUGGCGAAGGCGGCUCACUGGACCGGUACCGACGCUGAUGCGCGAAAGCGUGGGGAGCAAACAGG
rnacentral:rRNA from 1 species